AAAGGAGGAAGUGAGGGGAGAUGAAUGACAAGAGCUGGAGGGAACUCCUGCAAGAAGUGCCCAGAGGACCGAUGUCCUUCUUGGAAAGGCUCCAUGGAAAUCAAGUCCCAAGCAGAGCACGAAGGGAUGGAGUAACUGAAUGGGAAGGUGGCUACAAGGCAGCACCAACAAUCCUACACAGCACUCUUCGCAAGUGUGGCCAUUGACUACUUUUCUCAAACUUCUUCCUCCCUCAAGCACUGCUCCCUUCUGCUCAUCUUUAACUCUGCCACAAAAGUUUUCUGAUUCUCGGCAGCUGCCGCCAUGAAGGCCAUGGUGCAGCGCGUCACCUGGGCCAGCGUCACAGUUGGAGGAGAGCAGAUAAGCACCAUUGGACGGGGCAUCUGCGUGUUGCUGGGUAUUUCCUUGGAAGAUACGCAGAAGGAACUGGAGCACAUGGUCUGGAAGAUCUUAAACCUGCGUGUGUUUGAGGAUGAAGGUGGGAAACACUGGUCGAAGAGCGUGAUGGACAAGCAGUACGAGGUGCUGUGCGUCAGCCAGUUCACCCUGCAGUGUGUCCUCAAGGGGAACAAGCCUGACUUCCACCUGGCCGUGCCUGCAGAGCAGGCUGAGUCCUUCUACCAGGGCUUCCUGGAGCAGCUGCGCAAGGCCUACAGGCCGGAGCUCAUCAAAGAUGACAAGUUCGGUGCCUACAUGCAAGUUCACAUUCAGAACGACGGGCCUGUCACCAUAGAACUGGAGUCUCCAGCCCCUGGUGCUGCUGCCUCUGACCCGAAGCAGCUGUCAAAGCUUGAAAAGCAGCAGCAGAGGAAAGAAAAAACCAGAGCCAAAGGGCCUUCUGAGUCAAGCAAAGAGAGAAGCACUCCCCGCAAGGAAGACCGCAGCGCCAGCAGUGGGGCCGAGGGGCACGUGUCCUUGGAGCGGGAGCCGUAGGUGGGCUGGACACAGUGCAUUAUCAUUGGGCAGAACUGGAUCCUGAAAAAUUCAUGAAAGAUGCUAGGCACCUAUACUACUUUAAAGACUUGGACCUGAAUCCUGAAAAGGAAGAUGGAAAUAAGAAACUGGGAACCUACAAAAACACACACAAAAAACCCACUAAAGGAGCAUUCCAUUUUUUGUUGCUGCUGUGGCUUAAUAGAGGAGAUGGGUGCUGCCAGGGUGGGGAAGAUGCCCCAUGCACAGGGCAGCAAGGAACACACCCAAGGGUCCCCUCAGGAAGGCCACGUUGGUACCUCUGAUUCUUGGCUUGCUUUUGGAACAGGCUGGCCCAACAUCACUUGUCAUCGAGUCCUCCUUUCACCCUGUGGUGUAUUUCUGAGUGUCCAUGAUGGGUCCCAAAUGCGGUCACACUGUCCAUGUUUUUCCCAACACUGGCUAGGCCAGGGCUCAUGUUAGGAUGUAAAGAGAACAGUCGUCCAUG